AAGGCAGCCAAAAGUUGAUGUGAGGACAAGAAGGUGGUCUGAUCUCAUACCAUAGUUUUCAUAGAUCUCAGCCCCUGCAAGAUUUCAUCGACGCCUAUCGUUGGUGCUCAUUGAUGGCAAAGUGGAGAUAAGGCCAAAAAGGAGCGAGCCUCCGAAUGAGGAAGAAAGGAAAGUUCCCAUUUUGACGGGUGCAUGAAUUGAGGCAGCAGUCACUCUUCUCCUUCCUCCGAUUCCCAGCCCUCUGCCAUUCCUUCUUGCCCUAUUUGACUUCCUCUCUCUCUGUCUCUCGCGCGCGCGUCCAAAGUCCACUCCUUUCUGUCUCUACACCGUCCAAUAGCUUACAUCUUUCUUCAAAGUUUGCAUCUUUCCCUCUCCCUGUUCUCGGCCAUCUCCUCCUACCUUUGACCGCAGCGUGUGUCCCUUGGGGUGUUCUUGCAGUUCCUGGGAUAAGUGUGUUGUUUGACUUGCUCUGGGUUGGCAAAGGGUUGAUUUGGGAGCAUGACGAUUGAAGAGAGCAUGGGGAGCAGAGAUCAGUUCCCCGUCGGCAUGCGUGUUCUUGCGGUGGAUGAUGAUCCCAUAUGUCUCAGGUUGUUGGAGGCCCUGCUGCGCCGCUGCCAGUACAAUGUUACGACGACUGAUAAAGCGAUCACCGCAUUGAAGUUGUUGAGGGAGAACAAAGACAAGUUCGAUCUGGUUAUCAGCGACGUCCACAUGCCGGACAUGGAUGGUUUCAAGCUCUUAGAGCUUGUCGGCCUGGAGAUGGACCUGCCAGUUAUUAUGUUGUCCGCAAAUGGUGAAACCCAAACUGUGAUGAAGGGAAUCACUCAUGGAGCUUGUGACUAUCUGCUGAAGCCUGUGCGGAUCGAGGAGCUGAGAAACAUAUGGCAGCAUGUCAUUAGGAGGAGGAAGUUUGAAAGACGAUGCGACAACGAUCCUGACGGUAGGGAGGAUGGCCAAAAGUCUCAAGUUGCAAAGUCCGAAGAUGGCCAAGGGGCAGCUGAUCACAGUGGAAAAAUCAACAAGAAACGGAAGGAUCAGAGUGAAGUGGAUGAAGAUGAUAGUGAAGACAACAUGCUAGAUAAUGAAGACCCGUCUGCCCAGAAAAAGCCUAGGGUUGUUUGGACUGUUGAGCUGCACAGGAAAUUUGUUGCUGCUGUUAAUCAACUGGGUGUCGACAAGGCUGUACCGAAGAAAAUACUUGAUCUCAUGAAUGUGGAAAAACUAACAAGGGAGAAUGUUGCAAGCCAUCUACAGAAGUAUAGGCUCUAUCUGAAAAGGCUCAGCGCAGUGGCAGGCCAUCAAGCUAGCAUCACUGCAGCUGUCGGAGUUAGAAAUCCAUCCUAUCUUCAUAUGGCCUCUUUCAAUGGUCUCAGAAAUUACUGUGCAAUCAAUGGAUCAAAACAACUGCCAAUCCUUGGAUCCCUUCAACAGAAUGGGUUUGGUAGAAUGAAUAGUCCUAUGCUAGGAAUGCAUGCACUACUACCUUCUCAGACAGUUCAGCUUGGUGGUGCGCACAAAAAUGCAAGCAAUCCAUGCAAUGAUUUAGGGAAGAUACCAGGGAUCAUUUUACAAGGAAAUCAUCGAGUCAAUUUGCUUCAGGGGGUGCCCACGGCUUUGGAGUUAGAGCAAUUUCCACAACCUAAGUUAAUGCAGGAAGCAAAAAGCCACUUCCCUGCAGGCUUAUCUGAUAGUGGACUUGCUGCUGGUCCUUGCAGUAAUUCUUUUCCUAAUGUUACUAACAAUUCUCUAUUAGUGCAAGCUAACAAGCAACACAAUCAAUCAGGAGGAUUAGACAAUUUUUCAAUAGUUAGAAUGCCUUCCUCGAGCUCAGAGCUUUUUGAGAUUGAUCUUCAAGAUGUGUCUCAGUUUUCCAGUAUCAGUAGAUGUGAUGGCUCAUGGCAGGGUGCUGUUGCAUCAACUGAGUAUUCUGCAAAUCCCUUGCCUAUACUUGCUCCUUAUAAUCAUACUGAUAUACCUCCUGGUAAUGUUGGAAGAAACAUUUCUACGGUAACUUCACAUCCAGUCACCAGGACUCUUGAUGAAUCUCCAAACAUUAAGGCUGUUGCACCUCUUUGUAAUCCAACUACAAGUAAUGGUGUAAACCAGGUUCGUUUGCUUAGUGCGAGCUCAGUGCCCACAGCUCUUGACAAAGAUCCAAAGUUCUCAAAUUUCAAUAUAAUAGGCAACUCUCAGCAGAAAUGGGAUUACACAUUUAAUCCAAAUGCCGUUUCAAGUGCUUCCUCAAGUUCUUCAUUGCCCAAUCUUAGGAUUACUGAUGCAACUGCUCAGUGUCGGACAUCAGAAUUUGUCUUUUCUAAUAAAAAUUUGGAUGUUGAUUCAAUAGGCCAAGUGAAUUUUGGUUCUCCACUCAUAACACAGAAUUGCAUGAUUGAUAAGCCAACUAGUGAUAGUCAGCUGAAUUUUAAGGGUGAAUACGGCUCCACAAGUUUUCAGAGUGGACUAAAUUCUGCUGGUUGCAGCUUGGAUGAUCUUGUGAAUGCCAUGAUUAAACCUAAUCUAUAACUCUAGGAAUGGGUUUGUUGAGUUAAAAGCAGAGAAUAACUGAAUGUGGAACAUUAAUGGGGCAUUUUGGGUUACAUGGAGAGUUAUCAUUUAUCAGAAUAUGACACAAUUUAUGAAAGUCUUUGCUGCCAGGUUUUGUAUGAAGCAGACUAUGAGCCUCAAAUAUGAAGAACAGAAACAAAAUAAUCGCCUAUUUGAACCGAAGUGAUAUCUUGAGAUUAAUGAUUUGGUGAACAAGCUCAUCUACUUGACAUGCUCGACAAAUAGGAGCGCGACGAGAUUGCUUUCGCGGAUAUGGACUUGGGAUGUGAUGUCUACUCUUUAGGUACUUGCAUGUGAAGGUCUUUUCACAAACGAUCUCCAUCAAUCAUCAAUGGAAUUUAGGCAGGGCAUUGUUACGACCGACAUACGGUCAAGCUUGUUUAUCCUUUAAUAUUUGUUUUUCCUAGAACGAUGAACACGAGUGUAGCUGAGGAGUGUGUUAUGUUGGGUGCGAUAAUGAUACCGACCAUUGUCUUUCA